AUUUUUUACCUCAGAGGUGAACUGAAAUGAUAAGAAACAUUAAAGCUGCUAAUGUGCUUAGCUAUUUUCUUGCUGAACACCAUCAGGAAACGAAUAGUAAUAAAAUAAAACUAAAAAACCAUUCACACUGCCGGAAGUCCCUCACCUACUUUGUUCCGGAAAAUACAAAAUGAUACUGUGCAACGCUUUCCAUUCUGCUUUAUGUCUGUGUUGACAAGGUUUUAUCCUCUGCCCUUCUUCCUAAAGUACCACCCAUCCAGCCUUCUGACAACUUCAUCUGUGAGUGUAGCCGGUACAAAAGAGAGAAACAUGGAAACAACAUCUCUACAAGUAUGGAGACAACACCGAAGCAACUGA
rnacentral:lncRNA from 1 species